rnacentral:rRNA from 1 species
GGGGAAUAUUGCGCAAUGGGCGAAAGCCUGACGCAGCGACGCCGCGUGAGGGAUGAAGGUUCUCGGAUCGUAAAGCACUUUCAGGGGUGAGGAAGGGUGUUUGGUUAAUAUCCAAACAUUUUGACGUUAGCCCCAGAAGAAGCACCGGCUAACUCUGUGCCAGCAGCCGCGGUAAUACAGAGGGUGCAAGCGUUAAUCGGAAUUACUGGGCGUAAAGCGCGCGUAGGUGGUUUGUUAAGUCGGAUGUGAAAUCCCAGGGCUCAACCUUGGAAUGGCACCCGAUACUGGCAGGCUAGAGUAUGGUAGAGGGGUGUGGAAUUUCCUGUGUAGCGGUGAAAUGCGUAGAUAUAGGAAGGAACAUCAGUGGCGAAGGCGACACCCUGGACUAAUACUGACACUGAGGUGCGAAAGCGUGGGGAGCAAACA